rnacentral:lncRNA from 1 species
UGUGGAGCUGAAAAAAUUACGAGAGAGACAAGGUAUUGAAAUGGAAAAAGUCAUGCAGGAAUUGGGAAAAUCACUGACAGAUCAAGAUGUAAAUUCACUGGCUGCUCAGCAUUUUGAAUCCCAGCAAGACCUAGAAAAUAAAUGGUCGAAUGAAUUAAAACAAUCAACUGCCAUCCAAAAACAAGAGUAUCAAGAAUGGGUAAUAAAACUUCACCAAGACCUAAAAAACCCCAACAACAGCUCCCUUAGGUAUUAACUAUGUAUUGUUCUUAUUCAUAUAGUAGUCCAUUGUUAGUAAUGUUUAUAUUUACUACAAAGUUAAACCUUUUAGCUGUAUGUCUUUUUAAUUUGCUAGUGAAAGUUCAAGACAAUUUUAUGCUGUGCUUUUACCACCUUUUGCAUUAUAGGCUUUAUGUGGAUUAUUUGGGGGGCAAUGGUUAUUGGUUAGUUUGAAAUAGAACUUUAGUUUUAUGUUCUAGAUACAUACACCUAAAUACUUAAAUACUAUCUUUAUUUCUUUAGUUUCCACUCCAUGCAGUAAACAUUGGUUGAAUGCCAAACACUCUCU